rnacentral:rRNA from 1 species
GAUGAACGCUGGCGGCGUGCCUAAUACAUGCAAGUCGAGCGAACGGACGAGAAGCUUGCUUUUCUGAUGUUAGCGGCGGACGGGUGAGUAACACGUGGAUAACCUACCUAUAAGACUGGGAUAACUUCGGGAAGCCGGAGCUAAUACCGGAUAAUAUUUUGAACCGCAUGGUUCAAAAGUGAAAGACGGUCUUGCUGUCACUUAUAGAUGGAUCCGCGCUGCAUUAGCUAGUUGGUAAGGUAACGGCUUACCAAGGCAACGAUGCAUAGCCGACCUGAGAGGGUGAUCGGCCACACUGGAACUGAGACACGGUCCAGACUCCUACGGGAGGCAGCAGUAGGGAAUCUUCCGCAAAGGGCGAAAGCCUGACGGAGCAACGCCGCGUGAGUGAUGAAGGUCUUCGGAUCGUAAAACUCUGUUAUUAGGGAAGAACAUAUGUGUAAGUAACUGUGCACAUCUUGACGGUACCUAAUCAGAAAGCCACGGCUAACUACGUG